rfam:Rhizopogon vesiculosus strain AM-OR11-056 contig1429, whole genome shotgun sequence.
GCUUGCUUGGCUCAGCUGGUUAGAGCGCAGGUCUCAUAUAUUUCAUAUGACGAGUAUCUACUCGGUAAUCCUGAGGUCGCAAGUUCGAUCCUUGCAGCGAGCA